AUUGAACGCUGGCGGCAGGCCUAACACAUGCAAGUCGAACGGAGUGGCGGACGGGGGAGUAAUAUCUGGGAAACUGCCUGAUGGAGGGGGAUAACAACUGGAAACGGUAGAUAAUACCGCAUACUAUCAGAUGAGCCCAGGUCGGAUUAGCUAGUUGGUGGGGUAAGGGCUUACCAAGGCGAAGAGCCGUAACUGGUCUGAGAGGAUGAUCAGGCACACUGUAACCGAGACACGGUACAGACUCCUACGGGAGGCAGCAGUGGGGAAUAUUGGACAAUGGGCGAAAGCCUGAUCCAGCCAUGCCGCGUGUGUGAAGAAGGUCUUCGGAUUGUAAAGCACUUUAAGUUGGGAGGCGUUACCAACAGACUAAGCACCGGCUAACUUCGUGCCAGCAGCCGCGGUAAUAC
rnacentral:rRNA from 1 species